rnacentral:rRNA from 1 species
GCAUCGAUGAAGAACGCAGCGAAAUGCGAUAACUAAUGUGAAUUGCAGAAUUCAGUGAAUCAUCGAGUCUUUGAACGCACAUUGCGCCCGCUGGUAUUCCGGCGGGCAUGCCUGUCCGAGCGUCAUUUCGUCCCUCAAGCCCCCG